UACGUAGGGACCAAGCGUUGUUCGGAUUUACUGGGCGUAAAGGGCGCGUAGGCGGCGCGGUAAGUCACUUGUGAAAUCUCUGAGCUUAACUCGGAACGGCCAAGUGAUACUGCAGUGCUAGAGUGUGGAAGGGGCAAUCGGAAUUCUUGGUGUAGCGGUGAAAUGCGUAGAUAUCAAGAGGAACACCUGAGGUGAAGACGGGUUGCUGGGCCAACACUGACGCUGAGGCGCGAAAGCCAGGGGAGCAAACGGG
rnacentral:rRNA from 1 species